AUAUAAAAAAAUAUAAGAGUAUGAUGUUGGCUCAGAUUAAGCGUUAUCUAAGAACAUAAUACAUGCAAAUCGAACGAUAUAUAUAUAUUAAAUAUCCCCCGGUGACGGAUUACAUUCGAUCCCCGGGGUAAUAAUAAUAUAUUAUAGUGGUGUAAACGUGAGUAAGAGAUUGAAAUAUGAACUAUUAAUAAAGUUAAAUACUUUAUAAAUAUCUUAUAAAUAUCGUAGAUUGAACUAUGUUCAUCUAGGAGAAAAGAUAAAAAGAAUAAAAAUUCGUUAAUAGUCAAGUCAAUAAUGGAUUAGGUAGUAGUUUGGAUAAGGACCAACCUAGCCAAAGAUCCAUAGUCAAUAAUGAAAGUUAUAAUGAUCACGUUGAUUCUGAAAUGGAUCAAUUUCAAUAGAAACAGCAGUAAGGAAUAUUAGACAAUGAUCGAAAGAUUGAUCUAGUUACUUAGAAAGAUGAAUUAUCAAUAUACAUCUUUCAAGGAGGGACUAUGUUUUUCCUUGAAGGGAAUUUGAAUAAAGAUAAAAUUGAUUAAAAAUAAAAUCUAAAUUAUAGAAAAAAUAAUGAUAAUCUAUAAUAAUAGUCUUAACCAAAAAUAGUGCCAGCAGUUGCGGUUACACUAUGAAGGCUAACGUUAAUCAUUAAGGCUUAAAGGAUCCGUAGAACGAUAUAUAAUUUCCUAAUAAACUGAGAUUUUAACUUAAAGUUAAAAAGUGAGGAGGAAAUAAAUAAAAAUAUAUUAGAGUUUUAAGUAUGAUUAAAGAAUAAUUAUAGUAAAGAUGAAAUAAUUAUGAUAAUAAUUAGACUGUUAAAGGUGAAAACAUUAAUCAAAAAUAAAACUGACGUUGAGGGAUGAAGGCAUAAGUAGCAAAACGGAUUCGAUACCCGAUUAGUUUAUGCAGUAAACGAUGAAUACUUCUAUAAAUAAAAUUUGUAGUAAGUGAAAACGUAAGUAUUCCGCCUGGUGAGUAUAUUCGCAAGGAUGAAAUCCAAGACAAUAGACGGUUACAGAUAAAGGCAGUGGAUUGUGUUUUUUAAUUCGAUAAUCCCCGAUAAAUCUUACCAUUAUUAGAAUAUAUAAUUUAUAUUUAUAUAAAUUAUAUACAAAUGUUACAUCGUUGCUUUUAGUUCGUACUUUAUGGUGUUAGAUUAAGUUCGCUAACGAACAAAACUCCACAUUUAUUAAAAUUCUAACUAGAGUUAUACUUUAGGGAAUUAUAAAAUAAAUGGUUUUUUCUUGUAAAUAAGAAUAUAAAUGGAAUUAAAGCAAAUCCUGAUGACUUUAAUAUAAUGGGCUAAAGACGCAAUACAAAAUUUUAUACAAAGUUAUAUAAAAAUUAUAUUUAGAUAUAAUUUUAAUAAUUAAUUAAAAUAAAAUAUCCAUUGAAUUAUAUUUAAUUCAUAAAUAAAUUUGGAUUAAUAUCUGAAAUUCGAUAUUAUGAAAAAGGAAUUGCUAGUAAUCAGUUCUUCAUAAUAGAACGGUGAAAUUUAUCCUCUGUUUCGUACUAAUUACUCAUCAUUCGCUUAAAUGAUAUUUAAACUUAAAAUAUAUAAAAUAUAUUUUAUAUUAAUAUAAAAUAUAUUAUUAUAAUGUAUAUAAUAUAUAUCCUUGUUUAAUAUCAAAUAAGUGAGAAGUUGAAAUACAGUUAUCGUUGAGGAAUCAGCGGUGGGCUAUAAAAAUCUCUAUAAUAUUCUUCUUU
rnacentral:ncRNA from 1 species